rnacentral:rRNA from 1 species
AACGAACGCUAGCAGCGUGGAUUAGGCAUGCAAGUCGUGCGCGAAAGUCAUUUAUGACGAGUAAAGCGGCGAAAGGGUGAGUAACACGUAAUCAACGUACCCCCCAGACCGGGAUAACCUCUAGAAAUGGUGGGUAAUACCGGAUGGACUUAUGGCUAGGCAUCUAGUCAAUAGUAAACGGUGGCUUCGGCUGCUGCUGGGGGGAGCGGGUUGCGGCCUAUCAGCUUGUUGGUGCGGUAACGGCGCACCAAGGCGAUGACGGGUAGCGGGUCUGAGAGGAUGAUCCGUCACACUGGGACUGAGACACUGCCCAGACUCCUACGGGAGGCUGCAGUCGAGAAUCUUCCACAAUGGGCGAAAGCCUGAUGGAGCGACGCUGCGUGUAGGAUGAAGGCCCUAGGGUUGUAAACUACUGUCACGCUAUAGGAACCCGCAGUCGUUAAUAGCGGCUGCGCUGACCAAAGCGAAAGGAAGUGCCGGCUAACUCCGUGCCAG